CAGGGUACUCGAGUGGCGAACGGGUGAGUAACACGUGGGUGGUCUGCCCUGCACUUCGGGAUAAGCUUGGGAAACUGGGUCUAAUACCGGAUAGGAGCCAUCUUUAGUGUGGUGGUUGGAAAGUUUUUUCGGUGUAGGAUGAGCUCGCGGCCUAUCAGCUUGUUGGUGGGGUAAUGGCCUACCAAGGCGGCGACGGGUAGCCGGCCUGAGAGGGUGUACGGCCACAUUGGGACUGAGAUACGGCCCAG
rnacentral:rRNA from 1 species